rnacentral:rRNA from 1 species
AACACGACACCGAAGCCAUGGAAUGUAUAACAUUGGUAGGGGAGCAUUCUUAUCGCGGCGAAGCAGAACCGGAAGGAGCUGUGGAGUGAUAAGAAGAGAGAAUGCCGGAAUGAGUAGCGAGAGGAAGGUGAGAAUCCUUCCGGCCGAAUAUCCAAGGUUUCCAGAGUAAAGCUGAUCUGCUCUGGGGAAGUCGGGACCUAAGGCGAGGCCGAGAGGCGUAGUCGAUGGACAACAGGUUGAAAUUCCUGUACUGUCAUGUAACAGAACUGUGGGGACGCAGGGAGGAAAGAAGAGCCGGAAAUGAAGAGACCGGUGCAAGCGAGGUAGGAGUCUGAAAGGCAAAACCGUCAGACAAUCCGAAGACGUGAUGCGUAGCGAACUGAAGUAGCGAAGCUUCGGCCCCUAACUGCCAAGAAAAGCCGCUAUUGUUUGCAUGACACCCGUACCGUAAACCGACACAGGUGGAUGAGGAGAGAAUCCUAAGGCCGACGGGAGAAGCAUUGUUAAGGAACUCGGCAAAAUGACCCCGUAACUUCGGGAGAAGGGGUGCCUCGAAAGAGGCCGCAGAGAAUUGGCCCAAGCAACUGUUUAGCAAAAACACAGGUCUAUGCAAAACCGAAAGGUGAGGUAUAUGGGCUGACGCCUGCCCAGUGCUGGAAGGUUAAGAGGAGAGCUUAGCGCAAGCGAAGGUUUGAAUUUAAGCCCCAGUAAACGGCGGCCGUAACGAUAACGGUCCUAAGGUAGCGAAAUUCCUUGUCGGGUAAGUUCCGACCCGCACGAAAGGCGUAAUGAUUUGGGCGCUGUCUCGACAAUGCACCCGGUGAAAUUGAAGUACCAGUGAAGAUGCUGGUUACCCGCGCCAGGACGGAAAGACCCCAUGGAGCUUUACUCUAGCUUGAUACUGGGAUUCGGUAUUGUCUGUACAGGAUAGGUGGGAGGCUAUGAACCGUGGACGCCAGUCUGCGGGGAGCCGCUGUUGGGAUACCACCCUUACAAUACUGGAUUUCUAACCUGCCGCCAUGACCUGGCGGAGGGACAAUGUCUGGUGGGGAGUUUGACUGGGGCGGUCGCCUCCGAAAGAGUAUCGGAGGCGCUCAAAGGUCCUCUCAGGAUGGACGGAAACCAUCCGAAGAGUGCAAAGGCAUAAGAGGGCUUGACUGUGACACCGACGGGUGGAGCAGGUACGAAAGUAGGACUUAGUGAUCCGGUGGUAGAAAGUGGGAUUGCCAUCGCUCAACGGAUAAAAGCUACCCUGGGAUAACAGGCUUAUCACUCCCAAGAGUUCACAUCGACGGAGUGGUUUGGCACCUCGAUGUCGGCUCAUCGCAUCCUGGGGCUGUAGCAGGUCCCAAGGGUUGGGCUGUUCGCCCAUUAAAGCGGUACGCGAGCUGGGUUCAGAACGUCGUGAGGCAGUUCGGUCCCUAUCCGGCGCGGGCGUAGGAUAUUUGAGAGGAGCUGUCCUUAGUACGAGAGGACCGGGAUGGACGAACCGCUGGUGGAUCGGUUGCAUUAUCAAGUGCAUGGCCGAGUAGCCAAGUUCGGAAGGGAUAAACGCUGAAGGCAUCUAAGCGUGAAGCCCCCCUCAAGAUGAGAUAUCCCAUUCUUUAAAAGAAGUAAGACCCCUUGAAGACCACGAGGUAGAUAGGGCAGAGGUGGAAGUACGGUAACGUAUGGAGCUGACUGUCACUAAUCGGUCGAGGGCUUGACC